rnacentral:rRNA from 1 species
AUUGAACGCUGGCGGAAUGCUUUACACAUGCAAGUCGAACGGUAGAGGGGGCAACCCCUCGAGAGUGGCGAACGGGUGAGUAAUAUAUCGGAACGUGCCCAGUCGUGGGGGAUAACGUAGCGAAAGUUACGCUAAUACCGCAUACGAUCUAAGGAUGAAAGCGGGGGAUCGCAAGACCUCGCGCGAUUGGAGCGGCCGAUAUCAUAUUAGGUAGUUGGUGGGGUAAAGGCGCACCAGGCCAACGACCUGUAGCUGUUCUGAGAGGACGACACGCCACACUGGAACUGAGACACGGUCCAGACACAUACGGGAGGCAGCAGUGGGUAAUUUUGGACAAUGGACGCAAGUCUGAUCCAGCCAUUCCGCGUGCAGGAUGAAGGCCCUCGGGUUGUAAGCUGCUUUUGUACGGAACGAAAAGGUCUCUCUUAAUACGGGGGGCUCAUGACGGUACCGUAAGAAUAAGCACCGGCUAACUACGUGCCAGCCGCCGCGGUAA